GGUUAGUCGGGAGCUAAGCUCAGGCCGAAAGGCGUAGGCGAUGCACAUACGGUAGAAAUUCCGUAACCACCGAACUUUAAGCUAGAGGGACGCUUUCUUUAAGGUUAUCCCGGGCGAUGGUUGCCCCGGGCGUAAGGGACCGAAAUAUAGUAGGGAAGUAACUGGCGAGAGAGACGAGAAAAGCUCUAGUGUAUACUAAGGUGCCCGUACCGCAAACCGACACAGGUAGAAGGGAUGAGUAUUCUAAGGCCAACGGGAGAAGGGUUGUUAAGGAACUCGGCAAAUUGGCCCCGUAACUUCGGGAUAAGGGGCGCCUGCGAGAGCAGGCCGCAGUGAAAAGGCCCAAGCGACUGUUUAGCAAAAACACAGCUCUCUGCUAAAUCGAAAGAUGACGUAUAGGGGGUGACGCCUGCCCGGUGCUGGAAGGUUAAGGGGAGUGCUUAGCGCAAGCGAAGGUGCGAACUUAAGCCCCAGUAAACGGCGGCCGUAACUAUAACGGUCCUAAGGUAGCGAAAUUCCUUGUCAGGUAAGUUCUGACCCGCACGAAUGGCGUAACGAUUUGGGCACUGUCUCAACAGCCCGCCCGGCGAAAUUGUAGUACCGGUGAAGAUGCCGGUUUCCCGCAACUAGACGGAAAGACCCCAUGGAGCUUCACUGUAGCUUGAUAUUGGACUUCGGUAUUCCAUGUACAGGAUAGGUGGGAGGCUUGGAAGUGAGUGCGCCAGCAUUCAUGGAGCCAUCCUUGGGAUACCACUCUUGGGAUAUUGGAGUUCUAACCUGCGACCAUGAAUCUGGUCGGGGGACAUUGUCAGGUGGGCAGUUUGACUGGGGCGGUCGCCUCCAAAAGAGUAACGGAGGCGCUCAAAGGUUCGUUCAGCACGGACGGAAAUCGUGCAUUGAGUGUAAACGCAUAAACGAGCCUAACUGCGAGACCGACGGGUCGAGCAGUAACGAAAGUUGGAGUUAGUGAUCCGGCGGUAUGUGAGUGGAAAUGCCGUCGCUCAACGGAUAAAAGCUACCCUGGGGAUAACAGGCUGAUCUCCCCCAA
rnacentral:rRNA from 1 species